rnacentral:rRNA from 1 species
ACUCAAAUGAAUUGACGGGGGCCCGCACAAGCAGCGGAGCAUGUGGUUUAAUUCGAAGCAACGCGAAGAACCUUACCUGGGCUUGACAUAUGGUGGAAAACCGUGGAAACACGGUCCCUCUUCGGAGCCGCUAUACAGGUGGUGCAUGGCUGUCGUCAGCUCGUGUCGUGAGAUGUUGGGUUAAGUCCCGCAACGAGCGCAACCCUCGUCGUAUGUUGCCAGCAUUUAGUUGGGGACUCAUACGAGACUGCCGGUGACAAACCGGAGGAAGGCGGGGACGACGUCAAGUCAUCAUGCCCCUUAUGUCCAGGGCUACACACGUGCUACAUUGGCGCGUACAGAGGGCUGCGAUACCGUGAGGUGGAGCGAAUCCCUUAAAGCGCGUCUCGGUUCGGAUUGUAGGCUGAAACUCGCCUACAUGAAGGCGGAGUUGCUAGUAAUCGCAGAUCAGAACGCUGCGGUGAAUACGUUCCCGGGCCUUGCACACACCGCCCGU